UACAGAGGGUGCAAGCGUUAAUCGGAAUUACUGGGCGUAAAGCGUGCGUAGACGGUUAUGUAAGUUAGGUGUGAAAGCCCCGGGCUCAACCUGGGAAUGCAUUCGAGACUGAAUAGCUAGGGUGCGGUAGAGGGAAGCGGAAUUUCCGGUGUAGCGGUGAAAUGCGUAGAUAUCGGAAGGAACAUCAGUGGCGAAAGCGGCUUCCUGGACCAGCACCGACGUUCAGGCACGAAAGCGUGGGGAGCAAACAGG
rnacentral:rRNA from 1 species